rnacentral:lncRNA from 1 species
AUAAUUUUCAUUCCUCUUCAACACAUGUGCUGCUUUGUGAGAUCUUGUUAGAGGUGAGAUCAGGGAUUCAGAUCUUCUGUAUAUCUGUGUAGGAUGAUAACAGUGUGUAAUUUCUGUUGUAGGAGAAGUGAGUUUUCUGCGCUGUGUAUCUGGAAACACUCUGGGUUCAGAUGAUGGAUUUAUAAGAAAACUGAAAGAGGGAAUACCCGGCCUGAAGGAGGAGUUUAAUGUGGAGAACUGUGAUUUUAUUCUGGUUUUCUGUCCUGUUGUUUCUGGACAAAGAAAAGACAUUCAAUCAGCUGUGGAAAAACUUCAGGACUUAUCAGGUACCCGACUGUGUGAUCAACCUAACAAUUAAAGUAGAAUAUUAUUGUUAGAGUAGAAUCAUAUUUGCAUAUACUACUGAAUAUCAAUAUAUCUUUGUGUUUCAACAGAAUCAAAGCGAACAGUUCUGGUGGUUCUCCAUCACACAUUUGAUCAGGAGUUAACAGUACCAGACAGCAGCAGGAGUGUGAACAGAGAGAAUACUCUCACUGUGGACUGUCUGUUUCAUGAGGAUAGAGGAUUACUGCAGUGCUACAGGAACCAGGAAGCUCUGGAGAAAGUUACACACUGGAUCAAACCUCUGGAGACUCUGGGAAUAAUUCAGCAGUGGAAUAAUCCAUUAAGUUCCAUUUGGAACAUGGUGCCAAAUAUAACAUCAUGCAACAGAAGUGCAGAUCCUAAACAGCAGGAAGACUCUUCACUGAAAUUAGCAAAGGCAGCUGCAGCAGCAGCAAAGAAAGCAGCUCAGCUAGAAGAUGUGAAUAAAGAGUUAACAGAGAACCUUCAGAAAAAAGACUCACUCCUGCAGGACCUACAUAAAACCCUGUCUUUAAUGCUGUACAACACAAAUCCAAAACACCUGGAAGAUGAACAACAUGCUAAUCUGUUAAAAAAUCUGGAAGACUGCCACCUUACAGAUCCCAUUAAAAAACAUGUCAAUGAAAUAGAACAGGAGCUGAAUGAAACAUUAGCACGGGUGAAGAUCACUGACGAAAAAACACCAACCAACAAUGAGACGCUCUCCAGCCCAUCACCACCCAACACGAGCGAAGAUACUCUAAUUUUUUCUGUUAAAGAAACUGAAGAAGGGUUUUUAUCUGUUGAAAUACUUUAUAAAGAGAGUGAAAACACUGAGAAGAUCGAUUUAACUGCUUCACCUGAUCACCCAGAACACACCUAACAGGCUUAUUGAACCUUCUGAGAUGUAAGAGGUAGAUAAAGAGUAAACAGUAGAAAGAAUCUGAACGCUUAUGAGCUAAUACUAUGAGUAGUACAAUCACAUAUACUUAUAGGGCUGUGUAUUGGCAAGAACUUGGUGAUACAGUACACAGUAUAAUAUAGAGGUUAUGAUUAAAAAAUACCGUAUUUUUCUCACUAUAAGGUGCACCGUAUGAUAAGGCAGUACUGUGAUAUUAUCUGAUAAUAAAUAAAUUAUUACUGUUUAUCUAAUCA